UGCUUUGCGCAGUGGCAGUAUCAUAAUCAAUGAGGUUAAUCCGAGGCGCGAUUAUUGCUAAUUGAAAACUUUUCCCAAUACCCCGGAGAGCCAGUGUGGUGUAGUGGUUAAGAGCGGUAGAUUCAUAAUCUGGUGAACCGG